AUUGAACGCUGGCGGCCGGCCUAACCCAUGCAAGUCGAGCGAGCGGCGGACGGGUGAGUAAUGUCUGGGAAACUGCCUGAUGGAGGGGGAUAACUACUGGCAACGGUAGCUAAUACCGCAUCCCAUCAGAUGUGCCCAGAUGGAAUUAGCUAGUAGGUGGGGUAACGGCUCACCUAGGCGACGAUCCCUAGCUGGUCUGAGAGGAUGACCAGCCACACUGGAACUGCGACACGGUCCAGACUCCUACGGGAGGCAGCAGUGGGGAAUAUUGCACAAUGGGCGAAAGCCUGAUGCAGCCAUGCCGCGUGUAUGAAGAAGGCCUUCGGGUUGUAAAGUACUUUCAGCGGGGAGGCGUUACCCGCAGAAGAAGCACCGGCUAACUCCGUGCCAGCAGCCGCGGUAAUAC
rnacentral:rRNA from 1 species